rnacentral:rRNA from 1 species
CCUACGGGAGGCAGCAGUGGGGAAUAUUGGGCAAUGGGCGCAAGCCUGAACCAGCAACGCCGCGUGAAGGAAGAAGGCCUUCGGGUGGUAAACUUCUUUUGUGAGGGAAGAGUAGAAGACGGUACCUGACGAAUAAGCCACGGCUAAGUACGUGCCAGCGGCCGCGGUAAUACGUCGGUGGCAAGCGUAGUCCGGAUUUAAUGGGUGUAAAGGGCGGGUAGCCGGGUUGACAAGUAAGAUGUGAAAUCCUGCGGCGUAACCGGAGAACUGCAUUUGAAAAUGUUGAACUUGAGUACUGGAGAGGGAGACGGAAUUUCUGGUGUAGCGGUGAAAUGCGUAGAUAUUAGGAGGAACACCAGUGGCGAAGGCGGUCUGCUGGACAGCAACUGACGGUGAGGCGCGAAAGCGUGGGGAGCAAACAGGAUUAGAUACCCUAGUAGUC